rnacentral:rRNA from 1 species
UACGAAGGUCCCGAGCGUUAUCCGGAUUUAUUGGGUUUAAAGGGUACGUAGGCGGGUUAUUAAGUCAGUGGUGAAAGCCUACAGCUUAACUGUAGAAUUGCCAUUGAUACUGAUGAUCUUGAGUAUGAUUGAGGUGGGCGGAAUGUGUCAUGUAGCGGUGAAAUGCUUAGAUAUGACACAGAACACCGAUUGCGAAGGCAGCUCACUAAGUCAUAACUGACGCUGAUGCACGAAAGCGUGGGGAGCAAACAGG